rnacentral:misc_RNA from 1 species
UUAAGUUCAGCGGGUAGUCCUACCUGAUUUGAGGUCAAAAGUCAAUAAAGAAGACCUUUCUCUCUCGAAGAGAUAAUAAGAGUCGACGUAUUAGAGGCGCGAAACCUUCAUUCAUGCGCUUCAGCGAACGGCGAUCAUUAUCACGCCGAAAGCCUUGUCGCGCAUAGUCGAAAGUCGACCGCAAGCCGAUGCAUUUCAGG